CUCGCCAUUCCCGCCUGCAAGCGGAGGGGCUGCUUCCGUCUCCCUCUCUCUCUUGCAAGAGCUGCCUGGGGGUGAGUCUCGCCUCCCUCUCCCUCCGGGUGCAAUGGGGAGAAGGGGCUGCAGGGGAGGAUGCCUGGGGGGCUGGUCAGAUCGGGGGGGGGCAGACAUUCCCCGCCGGGGGGGCCAGGGCUCUGCCCCGCUCUUCUUGCUUGCCCGGGGGGGGGGGGGGAGGGGGGAGGGGGUCUUGGAGGGGGGAGCCUGCAGAGAGAGCCCUGGAGUCUCGAUCAAGAGUUGAGGAGGAGGAGGAGGAGGAGGAAGGGUGUUCUUCCUCUUGCCCAGCAUCGCUACUGUGUCUUUUCUCCUGGCAGAUCAAGGAGACAGCAGAAACCGCUACAUUUUUAGCGGGGCGAUUAGAGCCAGAUCUCUUAUGGUUGGAUCGCUUUUCUAACGUAGCUCAGCCUUUUUCGUUCUUUAAUCAGUUUGGUCGUUUAUACUGAUGUACUUUGUAUACAAAACUAUAUAGCAAACUAUAUCUGGUCUAGGGAACUAUGCCCCACAAAUAACCCAGAGAUGCAUUUUCAAUAAAAGCACACAUUCUGCUCAUGUAAAAACACCAGGCAGGUAUGGAGUACAUUGUCAAUAGCAGGACUAGGCAAACUAAGGCCAGAUGCGGCCCAAUUGCCUUCUAAAUCCAGCCCACGGACGGUCCAGGAAUCAGCGUGGUUUUUCCAUGAGUAGAAUACAGUGGUACCUCAGGUUAAGUAUUUAAUUUGUUCCAGAGGUGUGUUCUUAACCUGAGGUACCACUUUACCUAAUAAUAAUAAUGGGGCCUCCCGCUGCUGCUGUGCCGCCGAAGCACAAUUUCUGUUCUCAUUCUGAAGCAAAGUUCUUAACCUGAGGUACUAUUUCUGGGGUAGCGGAGUCUGUAACCUGAAGCGUAUGUAGCCUGAAGCGUAUGUAACCCGAGGUACCACUGUAUGUCCUUUUAUUUAAAAUGCAUCUCUGGGUUAUUUGUGGGGCAUAGGAAUUUUUAUUUCUUUAUUCAAAAUAUAGACCGGCCCACCACAUGGUCUGAGGGACGGUGGACCGGCCCAUGGCUGAGAAAGGUUGCUGACCCCUGGUCUAUAUCUCUCCUUCUGGAGCCAGAGAGGAUAGUCACUUUCAAGGGCACCAUUUAAGAUGUAGAGGUUUAGCCUGAAUGCUGUUUGAGCCAAGCAGAUGCCUGCAAAGUUUGAUUUCUGAUCUUUGAACAACGGGUGAGGAGGAAUCCACUGGCUUCACGGUUGGGAGGAGACCAUUUGUGCUGUCCAUAAAGGGCAUGAUCAUUAGGGCCCAAUCUGGCAUUGAGAUCCCCUCCUAAAACUACAGAUGCCUUUGGGUUAAGCAAAAUAAGGUCAGGUGUAUAAAUUUCCCUUUCAACCCACAAGUUUCUGAUCUGAGAUUUCUGCCUCAUCGGGGUCACAUCAGCGUAAAUUACCAACAGGGCCUGGUGGCUGUAUUGGAUUAACACUGCCCUGACUUAUGACUUGAAUGAGGGGGAGGGCUUGAAAUGGAAUGUAGGGUAGUGGAAACUAAGACCCCCAGGCCCCCUUUCGCUCUUCCACGCUUUACCCCUAGAUCUGCCCUAGUUGAGAAUGAAUGAAAUCCGUUGAGUAACAGCUCAUCCGCUGUCCAUGUUUCCAGGAUCAUUAUGACGCAAUGGUGGGAAUGAAAGUCUUUAAAACAAGGAUCUCUGCUGGAUGCGGACCACCCGGCCACAUUCCAGGAUAAAAGCUAGGUCACUUGAUUGUCAUGCAGUUGCAUUGUGGGCAAUUUUUGCAGGAGCAAGAGCUUUGCAUUGGUUUGAGAUGGUUGUAACUCCGUCUCCUUCUGUGACGAGGGAGAAGGUCCUGUACCAUCAUGUUCGUGCUCCUCUGUUCUAGCGAGGAGACUGGGAGAAUCAGUGCAGUGUGAAUUCCAGGCAAGCAGGGCUGCCAUCUCUUCAGCAGGGGAGACUUCCUUUCACUUGUCCGAGGAGAGGAGAGGGGAACUGUUUCUCCUGCGAAUCCGGUUCCCUCAGGGCCAGGUGGGACUUCUGAGAUGGGGAAGCACAUGGGGCUCUAUUUCCAGGUUGGGCUUCUUCAAGUGCUUGUCAGAGGUUUCUUUUGCUUGCAGGGCAGAUGCUUUGGGGAAUCAGCUACUUGGGGUUGUAAAGAUUCCUUGUAUACUACUGGUAUACACGGAAUAUUCAGAAGAGUCACUCUCUGCAUCACUUCCACUAUUAUUAGUAAAGUGGUAGGGUGAUUUUGCUGGGAGUACAAGAUUCCGGAUGGCUUCGCUCACAAGGGUCAUAGGAACGUGCAAGCCCACUCACCACAACAAGGUGUUGAUCCAGCAAGUGAGAAGUAAAUUUUUGCUAAUUUAACCGGGGACAAAUACCAUCAAAACACCAGAAAAUUUAAAACUAAUAAUAAUAAUAAUAAUAAUAAUUUAUUAUUUAUACCCCGCCCAUCUGGCUGGGUUUCCCCAUCCACUCUGGGUGGCUUCCAACAGAAUAUUAAAAUACAAUAAUCUAUUAAACAUUAAAAGCUUCCCUAAACAGGGCUGCCUUCAGAUGUCUUCUAAAAGUCUGGUAGUUGUUUCUCUCUUUGACAUCUGGUGGGAGAGCAUUCCACAGGGCAGGAGCCACUACCGAGAAGGCCCUAUGCCUGGUUCCCUGUAACUUGGCUUCUCACAGGGAGGGAACCACCAGAAGGACACUGGACCUCAGUGUCUGGGCAGAAUGAUGGGGGUGGAGACGCUCCCUCAGGUAUACUGGCCCGAGGCCGUUCAGGGCUUUAAAAGUCAGCAUCAACACUUUGAAUUGUGCUUGGAAACGUACUGGGAGCCAGUGUAGAUCUUUCAAGACUGGUGUUCUGUGGUCUCGGUGGUCUAACUUCCAAAUCUAACUUCCAAAGCCUUUCCCAGUCCGUCAUUCAUAUAUUAUGUCCCACAUCCUUCGCCCAUUUUAUCAUAACGCAAUUUACCUGGUCCUCUUUAGUGUCCCAUUGCAAAAGCAGAUCGUUCAUUUUUGACAGCAGUUUUGUACUACCUUCUACUAUUUCUCUCUGAAAUCUUGACACUUGAUAACUAAAUCGUUUCUUUUCAUGAUUUUUAAAAGUUUCAUUUAGUUGUAAAUAUUGUAAGCAGUCUAUUACAUUUUCUCUUACUUCUUCAAAGUCCUUUAAUUUUAAUUGGUUGUCAGUUUCUGUUAACAGCUCUUUAUGACUAUGAAAACUUUUAUGAACUUUUGCCUUAUGAUACCAUAGAUACCAUAGAACCACUGGAAAUGUUUAUAAAUGGGGUUUCUGUUGGGAAGGGGCUGCCCCAUUUGUGCUUUUCCAGGGGCAGGAGAAUCCAGUGAGAGCCAGUGUGGCGCAGUGGUUAAGAGCGGUAGACUCGUAAUCUGGUGAACCAGGUUCACGUCUCCGCUCCACCACAUGCAGCUGCUGGGUGACCUUGGGCUAGUCACACUUCUCUGAAGUAUCUCAGCCCCACUCACCUCACAGAGUGUUUGUUGUGGGGGAGGAAGGGAAAGGAGAAUGUUAGCCGUUUUGAGACUCCUUUAUGUAGUGAUAAAGCGGGAUAUCAAAUCCAAACGCUUCAUCUUCUUCUCUUCUUCUUCCCUGCAGGGACUUUGAGGCUCCCUUUGCUUCUUCCUCACUCCCAGGACCUUGCAGCUUGUUUUGGCUCCUUCACUCUUCAGGAAGGAUGAAAGAGAUGGAUCCUGCAAAGCUAGCGGGGAUGGAAGGGGGAAGAUGGACGGUUGACCUGGUCAGGUUGUCUCCUGCAUCCCUCCUCACAGCCUCUGAGCGUUCCUCUCUAGGGCUCUCAGAGAGAUCUGGUGAGUUCCAGGGGAGGGGAGAUGGGGACGUGGAGGGAUGGAGGGAUGGAGCCAGAGAGAUAUUGGGGCUUGCUCAGCCUGGGGGUGGGGGGAGGCAGACAGGCAGGUGGAGAUUGAGAAGGUGAGCACCUUUCUGGGCUCCACCACCUGCCCGCCUGCACCUUUGUCAUCUGCAGGGAAUUUGAGCUAGGAAUACAUCACAGCUCCCUGGCCACCACGAUGUAUUGGCAGCUCAAAAUGUCUAAUACCAGUGCUGUGGCCUAAAUGCCCUACCAAUGUCAAAAAACUUACUGCUCCAUCACACAGCAGUAGAAGCAAUGAACUCUGCAUAAGGAAGUCAAGGAGGAGAAUCGUGGGAUCAUGGACCCUCUUGGUAAAGCUCCCCGUUGGAUCAUAAGAUCAGUUUUGAAAUUCCAUACAUACAUUUCCCCCCCCAGGAGAUCCUACAAUAUAGCUCCCUUUCUGUUCUUCAGACAUAGAAUAUUCUGCCAGCUUUAACUUUUCAAUGAUAGUUACAAUUCUGUCACAUGACUCUGGCAAUCUUUCUUUUCUUCAUUUUUUAGACCAAAAAAGUUUCUGUCAGGUUUGGGUUAUUAAAUUGCGAUGACAUCUUCUAAAUUUAUAAACUUUCUCUAAAUUGUUAAGAAUUUCUCUGGCAGUAAGGCAUCUGCCUCAAUACAUUGUAUCAUUUCAAAUCUGUAUAACACUGUUCUCAUUCUCCUAUUCCACUGUGUAAAACUUCCUAUGUGCAUCCUAAAAAUUUCUUUCUACUUUUCAAUCUGCCUUUAAAAAUUGUUUCUGAGAGGAUAAUUAAGAGUACACUGGCAAAGAGGUCAAAAUGUUAAUGUCAGUUUCUUAUAUCUAAUAUAUCUAUAUCUAUUAUGUAUUGAUUUUGAUUAUUUCUACAUUUAUUCCAUUUUUUAUUUUUAUUCAAGACAAUGAGCUCAAAAAACCAAAAUAAUUCAAUAUCAAAUAAUUCUGCUACAUGAGGUAUGAAGGGUGAAUUACAAGUGCUUCUAUCUAUGUGAGACUUUACAGACUUUUUCUGAGGCACAUAGCAGCAUAAAACAGGCAGCAGGUGCUCUCACAGAAAACCUCUCUCUCACUUGACAGUUGAGACCAGACCAAACUGAAAAAACGGCCUUCUGGAGUGACAGUCACCCUUUCCAUAGCAACGUGGAGGCAACAUUCACACACAGAGUUGUUAGGGAAGUUGAGGUAAUUUCUGUCCGGUUUGGAUUUCUGUUUUAGCCUCUGCCCGUUUUUUAAAGAGAAGACCAAUGUUAGAGUUGGAGUGGAUUUCAUGAUUGUGGCAACAAAAAUCCGUCCUAGAAAAGAGCCAGACUUUCUGAACCUCUGGUUCUCAAAAAUAUGUCUGUGAAUGCUGGUCGACAAAGGCCAUGACCUCUGUAGAAAGACCUCACAUCUUCUGUUCUUCCUCUUUCACAAAUGUUCAUUAGCAUUGUUCAGUAAUUGGGGGCUCCAUUUCUUCCUGGGGAUCUAAUUAGUUUCUGUCUUUGUUGUAGGUGGUGAUGAAUUGGAAAUGAAGAAUGGGGAUCAAAAUGGGGAGUAUGGAGAGAGCUCCAAUCAGGGUUCCCAUUCCCACCAAAGAACUCACAGUGGGAAGAAAGGCUAUCAGUGCUCAGAAUGUGGGAAGAGCUUCAGUCACAGCACUGAUCUCACUUCCCAUCAAAGAAUUCAUACAGGGGUGAAACCCUAUCAGUGCUUGGAAUGUGGAAAGCGCUUCAGUCACAGCAGCAGUCUCACUUCCCAUCACAGAAUUCAUACAGGGGAGAAACCCUAUCAGUGCUUUGAAUGUGGAAAGAGCUUCAGUCAGAGCACCCAGCUCACAUCCCAUAAAAGAAUUCAUACAGGGGAGAAGCCCUAUCAGUGCUUUGAAUGUGGAAAGAGCUUCAGUCAGAGCAGCAGUCUCACUUCCCACCAAAGAAUUCAUACAGGGGAGAAACCCUAUCAGUGCUUCGAAUGUGGAAAGAGCUUUAGUAAGAACAGCACUCUCACUUCCCAUCAAAGAAUUCAUACAGGGGAGAAACCCUAUCAGUGCUUGGAAUGUGGAAAGAGUUUCAGUCACAGCACCCAUCUCACUUCCCAUCUCAGAAUUCAUACAGGGGAGAAACCCUAUCAGUGCUUGGAAUGUGGAGAGAGCUUCAGUCAGAGCACCCAUCUCACUUCCCAUCAAAGAAUUCAUACAGGGGAGAAACCCCAUCACUGCUUGGAAUGUGGAAAGAACUUCAGUCAGAGACACCAUCUCACUUCCCAUCAAAUCAUUCAUACAGGGGAGAAACCCCAUCACUGCUUGGAAUGUGGAAAGAACUUCAGUCAGAGAAACCAUCUCACUUCCCAUCAAAUCAUUCAUACAGGGGAGAAACCCAAUCACUGCUUGGAAUGUGGAAAGAGCUUCAGUCAGAGAAACCAUCUCACUUCUCAUCAAAGAAUUCAUACAGGGGAGAAACCCUAUCAGUGCUUUGAAUGUGGAAAGAGCUUCAGUCAGAGAAACCAUCUCACUUCUCAUCAAAGAAUUCAUACAGGGGAGAAACCCUAUCAGUGCUUGGAAUGUGGAAAGAACUUCAGUCACAGCCACAGUCUUGCUUCCCACCAAAGAAUUCAUACAGGGGAGAAACCCUAUCCCUGCUUGGAAUGUGGGAAGAGCUUCAGAAAGAGGGCAGGUCUCAUCUGCCAUCAAAGAACUCAUACAGGGAUACCUAAGGUUAAGAACUUAAUUCGUUCUGGAGGUCCAUUCUUAACCUGAAACUGUUCUUAACCUGAAGCAUCACUUUAGCUAAUGGGGCCUCCCGCUGCUGCCGUGCUGUUGCCUCGUGAUUUCUGUUCUCCCCUUAAGCAAAGUUAUUAACCCCAGGUACUAUUUCUGGGUUAGUGGAGUCUGUAACCUGAAGUGUCUGUAACCUGAGGUACCACUGUACAGGGCAUGAAGCGUAUUAGAAAUGUGGAAACAGCUUCUCUUCCAAGAGGCGUCUAGCUUCCCAUGAAGAAAUUCAUGUGGCUGAGCAGGUGGUUGCUGAAGAACUCCAGGCAUGACUGGAGAAUGGGGACUCAUAUUGGGACUGAAACCGCCUUGGUUGUGCUGAUCCAUGAUCUCCGGCGCUCUAGGGACAACUGUGAAAGCUGUUUCCCGAUUUUGCUGGAGCUCUCAGUGGCCUUUGAUACCAUCGACCACGACAUCCUUCUGGACCAUCUAGAGGAGCUGGGAGCUGAGGGAACUGUUAUACAGUGGUUCCACUCAUUCCUCCGGUUGGAGGAUGGAUGGCAGGUAACUGAUUGAGGUUGAAUCCUGACAAGACAGAAGUGCUGUUCUUGGGUGACAGGGGGCGGGCUGGUGUUGAGGACUCGCUUGGACCACUGCAACACAUUCUAUGUGGGGUUACAUUUGAAGGUGACCUGGAAACUACAACUAAUCCAGAAUGUGAUAGCUAGACUGGUGACUGGGAGUAGCUGCCGAGACCACAUAACACCGGUCCUGAAAGAACUACAUUGGCUCCCCGUUUCUGGACACAAUUCAAAGUGUUGGUGCUCACCUUUAAAUUCCUUAACAGCCUCGGCCCAGUGUACCUGAAGGAGUGUCUCCACCCCCAUCCUCCUGUCUGGACAUUGAGGUCCAACUCCCAGGGUCUUCUGCUGGUUCCCUCACUGCGGGAAGUGAAAUUAAAGGGCCUUCUUGGUAGUGGCACCUGCCCUGUGGAAUGCCCUCCUACCAGAUGUCAAAGAAAUAAACAACUGUCUGACUUUGUGAAGACAUCUCAAGGGAGCCCUGUUUAGAGAAGCUUUUAAUAUCUGAUGAAUUAUUGUAUUUUAAUAUUUUGCUGGAAGUCACCCAGAGUGGUUGGAGUAACCCAGCCAGACGGACGGGGUAUAAAUCAAUUAUUGUUAUUGUUUUAAGGACUUUCCCAUGCAAUAUGGGAAUCCACAUCCAUCUGAAGUUCAGGAGCAGUUGGACAAUCCCCAGAUUCUUGGGAUCUACUUUUGUGGCCAUCUGGUAGAAAAAGGGGAACUGGGUUUUAUCAUGAAGAGUCGGAACAGUGUAUCCAUAACUUGCCCAGGAUGCAAAGGGAGAGGUGAGUGCUUUGCUGUGGUUCCAGGACAAAUCUCAGACAGUUGACCAACUACAGUCCCCAACACAUGCACACAAAGAACAAGAGAAAAUGCUGACCGUGUAGAAUGGAAGGAGGUCUUCCAGGAGUGCCUCCAGACUCUCAAGAUUUUGUGGGACUGAAUCACAUCCCAGAAUAUUAGACUAGGGACUCAGCUACAUUACUCAAAAACCUGUGUUUUGAAUGCAUUGUAAAAAAGCAACAUGGUUUUUUAAAGCAGUGGUGGGGUGGCAUAGGGCAUUUGACACCAGUGUUGAGUGUUCCUGCUUCCAGGUUCCAUCCCACCCUCACCUUUGGGAGAGUCCAAAAAGGAAAGAAUGAAAAGCCCAUGGCAGAGGCACAAUUCCGUCUUAACACCAAACCAGCCAUACCUGUGGGAUUUUGUAGAUGCUUGACAUAGGUGACAUAUGUCUAGAAAUAUCAGCUUCAGCAUCUUCAAGAACAGCCAACAGGUUAUUCCUCUUCCUGGCUCCCGGUGGAGUACAAGGUCAGAUUUCAGAUGCUGGUUUUGACCUUUAAAGACCUUCAUGGCCUAGGACCCUCGUACCUAUAGGACCGCCUCUCCCGGUAUGGCCCAUGGAGGACCGUAAAGUCCAUAAAUAGCAACACCCUAAAGGUCCCGGGCCCAAAGGAAGUUAGAUUAGCCUCAACCAGAGCCAGGGCUUUUUAAACACUGGCUCCGGCCUGGUGAGACCAGGGCCCUGCAGGAUCUGAUUUCUUUCCACAGGGCCCGUAAGACAGAGUUGUUCUGCCUCUCCUUUGGCUUUGAGUCAAUUUGAUUCCCUCCCCCUCUUUCUUUUUCCUUUCUCCUGCUGUGAUGAGGCUGCAUUUUAACGUUUUAAUGUUGUAUUUUAAUCUUGUUUUUAAGUUGUAUUCAUUCAACUUGUUUUUAUUAUUGCUUGUUAGCUGUCCUGAGCCCGGUCUUGGCUUGGGAGGGAGGGGUAUAAAUAAAAUUUAUUAUUGUUGUU